rnacentral:rRNA from 1 species
ACGCUCGACACCUACGGGGCAGCAGUGGGGAAUAUUGCACAAUGGGGGAAACCCUGAUGCAGCGACGCCGCGUGAAGGAAGAAGUAUCUCGGUAUGUAAACUUCUAUCAGCAGGGAAGAAAGUGACGGUACCUGACUAAGAAGCCCCGGCUAACUACGUGCCAGCACGCCGAGUAUCNGNGCGGNNGNAG